UGAUUUGCAGCUGCAGCAUCAUUAAGAUUCACAUAAAUAGAAAUAUGGAGCUGAAAAAAUGAAGUGUUUUUCAAUUUUUUUUCGAAAGAUGAGAAUCUUGAUGAUGCUGCAUCGGCAAAUUA
rfam:Capsicum annuum cultivar Zunla-1 chromosome 12, whole genome shotgun sequence